GGAAAUUGAAAGGUUCGAUUUCUUCUCCUUCUUCUUUCGAUCGUAGCUCUGGUGACAUACUAAAACUCUCUAACCUAAAUUGCGGACGUGCUUGCAUAAGAUACGAUUCUUCAUUGGUUCCGCUAAGGGUUAAAACCCCAAGGGAAGAAUGCGGAGAGAAUUGGAUAAGUCUUGGAUGUUUGAGAAUGAUAGGUUUGGUCAAGUAUACAGAGAUGGGGUAAAAAAUUUCAUUAAAUAUGCAUCUACAUAUGGUCCUUGGAAAACCCUUUGUCCUUGCCCAUGUUCUAGAUGUCUAAAUGGGGGUCGUCUCGAUAUUAAGGAAGUGCAACAACAUUUGUACGAGUAUGGUAUCGACAAGUCGUAUAUCACUUGGGUCUUUCAUGGUGAGAAGCAGCCGGUUAAUAAUGUAAUGAGU